rnacentral:rRNA from 1 species
UGGGGAUGACGUCAAGUCCUCAUGGCCUUUAUGCCCAGGGCUACACACGUGCUACAAUGGGUGGUACAAAGAGCAGCCAGCUCGCGAGAGUGAGCAAAUCUCAAAAAGCCAUCCUCAGUUCGGAUUGAAGUCUGCAACUCGACUUCAUGAAGUCGGAAUCGCUAGUAAUCGCGGAUCAGCACGCCCGUGGUCGAUACGUUCCGGCCUU